CAAAAUAUUGGCACAUAUAAAAAAAGACAACUCUGUUCCGCAGAGUAGCUGUUGACAUAAUAGUUGCGCAGGAACUUUGUUGACUCUAGAGAACCUCGGGCAAAUCGCACAUCCUCGUGGCGGCAACUUUGCAUGCGGAUAUCAUCCAUAUCAACUUUUCGAUGCCAGUUUCUACACCUACAAUGGUGACCAUGGGUAAUGGGGAAUCAGGGUUCCAUUUUGUACAGGGACCCUGAGAAACGGCUACCACAUGCAAGGAAGGCAAUAGGCAUGCAAAUGACCAACUCCCGACGAGGGAAGGUAGUGACG